rnacentral:rRNA from 1 species
UACGUAGGUGGCAAGCGUUGUCCGGAAUUAUUGGGCGUAAAACGCGCGCAGGCGGUCCUUUAAGUCUGAUGUGAAAGCCCACGGCUCAACCGUGGAGGGUCAUUGGAAACUGGGGGACUUGAGUGCAGAAGAGGAAAGCGGAAUUCCACGUGUAGCGGUGAAAUGCGUAGAGAUGUGGAGGAACACCAGUGGCGAAGGCGGCUGUCUGGGAUGUAACUGACGCUGAGGCGCGAAAGCGUGGGGAGCAAACAGG